GCAUUAUUCGGAAUGAUUAGGCGUAAAGGGUUUGUAGGUGGUUUUUUAAGUUGAAAAAAACAAAUUAGAGCUCAACUUUAUAAAUUUUUUCAAAACUGAAAAACUUGAGUAUAAAUAGAGGAUAAUGGAAUUUCUAUUGGAGGGAUAAAAUAUGUUGAUAAUAGAAGGAAGAUCAAAAGCGAAGGCAAUUAUCUGGGUAUAUACUGACACUGAGAAACGAAAGCUUGGGUAGCGAACGGGAUUAGAGACCCCGGUAGUCCAUGCUGUAAACGAUGAGUGCUCAUAUUUAGAAUUUUUAGAUAUCAAGCUAACGCGUUAAGCACUCCGCCUGAAAAGUAUAAUCGCAAGAUUGAAACUCAAAGGAAUUGACG
rnacentral:rRNA from 1 species